rnacentral:rRNA from 1 species
AUUGAACGCUGGCGGCAUGCUUUACACAUGCAAGUCGAACGGCAGCGCGGGCUUCGGCCUGGCGGCGAGUGGCGAACGGGUGAGUAAUACAUCGGAACGUGCCCAGUAGUGGGGGAUAGCUCGGCGAAAGCCGGAUUAAUACCGCAUACGACCUGAGGGUGAAAGCGGGGGAUCUUCGGACCUCGCGCUAUUGGAGCGGCCGAUGGCAGAUUAGCUAGUUGGUGGGGUAAAGGCCUACCAAGGCGACGAUCUGUAGCUGGUCUGAGAGGACGACCAGCCACACUGGGACUGAGACACGGCCCAGACUCCUACGGGAGGCAGCAGUGGGGAAUUUUGGACAAUGGGCGAAAGCCUGAUCCAGCAAUGCCGCGUGUGUGAUGAAGGCCUUCGGGUUGUAAAGCACUUUUGGCGGGAACGAAAAGGACUGUGCUAAUACCACGGUUCGAUGACGGUACCCGCAGAAUAAGCACCGGCUAACUACGUG